rnacentral:ncRNA from 1 species
UCCUGCGCAGGGCAAAUCCGCCGAAAGGCGAGAGACGCAAAGCCGCGGGCCUAAAACCGUCCUCCGGGCGGUCAUGGCAGCCGGGUUGCCGAU